rnacentral:lncRNA from 12 species
GUUUUCUUCAAAUCUGCUACAUAUUAUUUUUAAUGGUAUCAUGUUCUCUUGUAAUCUUUUCAUAAUAUUUUAAAUACUUUAUGCAUUUUAAAGAAACCUAUGGAAUAUUUUAAAUCUGAGAAUUCUAUGAUCUGAUAUUCUUAGAGGUCUAUUUCAGCUGUUUUUCAGUUCUGUGGAUUCUCACUCAAAAUGGCUUGUUUCUUCAUAAGUUAUAUAAUUUUAAAGGCAAGUUCACAUUGGGUGAGACAUUAUCCAUGAGACUCCUCUGAGGCUUGUUCUAAGAUGUGUUUUAAAAAGAAAACAUGUGUCUCUUUUUUCUUUCAGGUGUAAUUGAUUUCUAUCAACAUGGAACUUCUUUAUAUUAUGAAGUUAUCUCAAUCAUUCAGACCUAUGCAAGGGGAAACUAUAUUUUUCACCCUAUGCAGAUCCUAGUUCCUGUUCGCCAAUUUUGGGAAAACUAUUCUAAAGCAUCUUCAGUGUGCAGUUGGUGCUGGACAAUGGCUCUCCUUGGGGACUCCGUUCCUCAGGCAUUUCUUGUUGCGACCCCGUGACAAAUGGAAUAUGUGCACCUCCAGGCUGAGAUAGGUAAGCGUGGGACAUUUGAUCCCCCGUGUGUGCUCUUCCCUUAGAACUGCUGGCUGGAUGACACUAAUGUGUCUUUGAAUGGUGGAGCCAGACAAUGGAAACCAGGGUUCCUGAAUCACAGCUUGUAGGUGGCUGCCCCCGUGAACCACCCACAAGGAACAUCAGUUUUGAAUUUCGUGGGGGUGAGAGAUAAACUUUCAUUUUGUUAUGCCACUGAGCCUCAAGAUUUGUCUAAUUACAAUAUUUACCCUGAUAAAUACAAUAUGACUUUAUCAUAUGUAUUCUAUAAAUGCGUAUAUGUAUGACAGGCAUACAUACAUUAUUAUGGAGCUGGUUUAAUGCCCAUUUUACAUAUGAAGAAGCUGAGGAAAAAGAGACCUUGAAGAGGAUUAAGCAAAUUUACUCGGGAGGUUAUAGGUUACAUUAGUUAACAGCUAAACUAAAUCUAGUGCUUUAUCCACUGAAGCAGGCAUCUACAAACUAUGGCCCUCAAGUCCAAUUAGACCUCCAGACUGUUUUUCUAAAUGAAGUUUUGUGAGAACACACAGUCAUGCCCAUUCAUUUCCAUAAUGUCUAAGGCUGCUUUCUUGCUACAAGAGCCGAGUUGAGUAGUGACAGAGGCCAUAUGACCUGUAAACCUGAAAAUAUUUACCAUGUGGCUCUUUCCAGAAAAAGUUGGCUAAUCUCUGCAUUGUACUAUGCUUCCAUCUAGUUCUCAAGGUAACUGAAUAUGGGACAUGAUAGAGAAAGUAAGCUCUAAAUUUUAUAUCUUCUCAUGUUUGUGGGAACAUAGAAAAAUCUUUUAACUUUAUGUUUUCACUCUUUUUAAUUUUUUUUUUAAUUUUUUUUUUUAAUUUUUAUUUAUUCAUGAUAGGCACACAGUGAGAGAGAGAGAGGCAGAGACACAGGCAGAGGGAGAAGCAGGCUCCAUGCACCGGGAGCCUGACGUGGGAUUCGAUCCCGGAUCUCCAGGAUCGCGCCCGGGGCCAAAGGCAGGCGCCAAACCGCUGCGCCACCCAGGGAUCCCUGUUUUCACUCUUUAUGUUCUUUCUUCCUUUCCAUAUCUAGUGAAUCAACUUAACUACUAUGGGGAAAUGGAUGUAUCCAGCUUCUCCUCUUGCUUCCGGUUUGGUCUAAGACAAAUUGUCAAGUGGUAAAACAAUAAAACAUGCUUUUCCACGUCUCCUCCA